UACGAAGGGGGCUAGCGUUGCUCGGAUUGACUGGGCGUAAAGGGCGCGUAGGCGGUUCGUACAGUCAGACGUGAAAUUCCUGGCUCAACCUGGGGCUGCGUUUGAUACGUGCGGACUUGAGUGCGGAAGAGGGUCGUGGAAUUCCCAGUGUAGAGGUGAAAUUCGUAGAUAUUGGGAAGAACACCGGUGGCGAAGGCGGCGACCUGGUCCGAUACUGACGCUGAGGCGCGAAAGCGUGGGGAGCAAACAGG
rnacentral:rRNA from 1 species